ensembl:lncRNA
UUGCAUAAGCGUUUGCUUUCAGGAAGCUGCAGCCAGUCGGAGGCUGCAACUCACAGAAAGCAUUCCUAACCACUGUGAUUUUUGAAAAUAACGCACCGGUACCACUCUGCUGGAAGUGCUGUGAAACCUCUGUAGAUAGGCUCGAGCAGCGGAGACCCCAGCACCCGUGGUGGCUGAGCUGCAGCAGUAAGGCACUGCCAAAACACUCUGCGCUGAGCGGAUCGUCGAUAAAAAUGGACUCUAUGCCCAAGCUGAAGAUUUUUGUGAUGUUGCUAUCCCUGGCUUCUUUCACAGUCAUGGUGAUAAUGAAUGCUGGAAAUGCCACUGGGCUUUUCAAAGGUCUGUUCCGGACAACCCCUGGCAACAUCUCGGAGAAGUACAGCACUGACUUCACCCCGGCCGGCUGGACUUUCCUCAUCUGGAAUGUCAUCUAUGCCUGGCAGCUCGCGUGGCUCCUGUAUGCGCUGUCAGGGAUCUGUCGGAGAAACGAACUUGGAUGUGUCUACAUGAAGCCAGACUUUCUGCCAAUACCUUUUUAUGUGGCGUGGAUUCUGAAUAAUGGCCUCAAUGUUGGAUGGCUGUUUCUAUGGGACAGAGAAUACCUCCUCCCAGCCCUGCUGUUGCUGGCAGCCCUCACUUUUACUACAGGUGCUGCUCUCUUCAUCUCACACAGAGCCUUGAGUAUCCAUUCCACGUGGUUCAUGAAGGGUCACCAAGCUGAUCUCUGGCUCAUCCGGAUCCUAGUGCAGAAUGGGCUGGCGCUCUACGCCACAUGGACCACCAUUGCCACUCUGCUGAACUUUGCCGUUGUGUUGAUCUACAAGUGGGAUGUGUCCAACGAGACAGCAACCACUGCCUCUCUGAGCAUCCUUGCUCUCAUUCUCAUCAUGUGGUUUUGUCAGGAAAACUUCUUUCUUGAUAAAUACGUCCGUUAUAACCUCACGAUCUACCCAGUGGUCAUAAUAGCUCUGACUGGCAGCAUGUGCAAGGACUUCUCAGCCUCCUCCCCAACCACCAACGGCAUUUUUAUAGUGGUACUGCUGGCACUGACUUGUUUCAUCUUUGCUGUUCGGCUGGGGUUAGUCAUACGGAAACACAGUAACGAACAGCUGGAAGCACCAGCACCACCACAGCCAUCAAGCACAGUGGCCUGAGACCUCUGGUAUGGUGAUGCUACAGCAGAUGCUUUAAGAGGGAGAAAUAAGAAUCGAACAUCCUGCAUCCACUGGUCCUUCCUUCCAGUCACAAUUGCCUUUUUUUACUGUUUUUCUCUAUUUUCUUUAUAUUCUGAAUUAGCAUGGCUCAUGCCUGCAAUCUGUCCUCCUCCCCUAUUCUCUGAGCUCAACUAUUUGCAGCCCCACCUCAGACCUGCACCCUCUUCUGUUUGUUUUGCUCUGGACCAGUGAAGGAAGAGGCCCUUUGGAUGAGCAGCUCUGUAUAACUUUGUGAUGACAGAGCUGCUCCUCCCAGUGUGAGCAGGGCUGUCAGCAAAUGCUUGGCACAGGGAGCUGCCUGCACCCUUUCCUGGGAGCUAUGGUGGGCAAGGGGAGGAGGGAUGGCUGAAUACUUCUGACACAACUGCAAGUCUUUGGCCGAUUUCAGGUUGCUCUAGCUCUAGAAACUGCCUAUAUGUUCACUUCUCAGCACUCAGUAUGAUUUCCGUGCCUCUGCCUUGGUUUUCCUUCUGACUUUCCUAUUGAAGUUUGUCGCUGUGUCGGAGCUUCCAUCAGUGCACCCACGGUAAUGGCAGAUCUGUGCUGCCCCUGCUCCUCCUUUCAGACAGGGACGGUCUGCUUGAUGUGGGAGCAGUGGGUUGCUUUUCCUGAGCUGUGCCCAGCUGAUGGGUGCCACGUGCAGGAGAGUGCUUCACAGCCCUUCUGAUGGGAGAUCAGCCAUCUACACACCACGAUAGCUGAUGGAGGGUGAAGCCUGCUGCUUCACAGAACACUUUGUAUUUUCUGAACUGGGUAGAGUGAGUUCAUCCUGGAUCAGUGCUUUGUAAUGUGGUUUCACCACUGUGGGCUUGCUUUAGGACCAGAGUGUCAGACUCUAUCUGCUGUGCCUGCUAGAUUUGAUGGUGCAUUGCUGGUGUCUGGAAAGCAUUCCUGGAGGAUUGGUGCUUUGAAAUGCUGAACCUCAUGCAGUACUAUUACAUAGGCGCAUUCUUCUAAAAUGACAUGUUAUUGUUUACAUUUAAUGAAGAACAAAGUCUGUAUUAUGUGGUUCUUGUCAUUCCAUCACAUCUUGUUUUCUAAUAAAGCAGCUACUGCCAUCA